rnacentral:rRNA from 1 species
CAGUAGCCGCGGGAAUACAGAGGGUGCGAGCGUUAAUCGGAUUUACUGGGCGUAAAGCGUGCGUAGGCGGCUUCUUAAGUCGGAUGUGAAAUCCCUGAGCUUAACUUAGGAAUUGCAUUCGAUACUGGGAAGCUAGAGUAUGGGAGAGGAUGGUAGAAUUCCAGGUGUAGCGGUGAAAUGCGUAGAGAUCUGGAGGAAUACCGAUGGCGAAGGCAGCCAUCUGGCCUAAUACUGACGCUGAGGUACGAAAGCAUGGGGAGCAAACAGGAUUAGAUACCCGCGUAGUUCCUGUCUCUUAUAC